GAUGAACGCUGGCGGCGUGCCUAAUACAUGCAAGUCGAGCGAACAGACGAGGAGCUUGCUCCUCUGACGUUAGCGGCGGACGGGUGGGUAACACGUGGAUAACCUACCUAUAAGACUGGGAUAACUUCGGGAAACCGGAGCUAAUACCGGAUAAUAUAUUGAACCGCAUGGUUCAAUAGUGAAAGACGGUUUUGCUGUCACUUAUAGAUGGAUCCGCGCCGCAUUAGCUAGUUGGUAAGGUAACGGCUUACCAAGGCGACGAUGCGUAGCCGACCUAAGAGGGUGAUCGGCCACACUGGAACUGAGACACGGUCCAGACUCCUACGGGAGGCAGCAGUAGGGAAUCUUCCGCAAUGGGCGAAAGCCUGACGGAGCAACGCCGCGUGAGUGAUGAAGGUCUUCGGAUCGUAAAACUCUGUUAUUAGGGAAGAACAAAUGUGUAAGUAACUAUGCACGUCUUGACGGUACCUAAUCAGAAAGCCACGGCUAACUACGUG
rnacentral:rRNA from 1 species